AGUACCUUUAACUCAGUCCCGAGAGGCUGGCAAGGUAGCGUGAAUAACAGGUCUAUAGAAGAGAGGAAUAGGACAGCUUUAUGCACUGCUUUCUGUGACGAGAGCUCUGCUUGCUUGCACCUAUCUCUUUAAGCCUUAUCACAAGCUCCUUGCGAAAUUCGCAAGGAGCUUUUUGU
rfam:Paenibacillus sp. FSL A5-0031 NODE_7_length_356415_cov_1.3153_ID_5137, whole genome shotgun sequence.